rnacentral:rRNA from 1 species
GACGAACGCUGGCGGCGUGCCUAAUACAUGCAAGUCGAGCGAGCGGCGGACGGGUGAGUAAUGUCUGGGAAACUGCCUGAUGGAGGGGGAUAACUACUGGAAACGGUAGCUAAUACCGCAUACCAUCAGAUGUGCCCAGAUGGGAUUAGCUAGUAGGUGGGGUAACGGCUCACCUAGGCGACGAUCCCUAGCUGGGCUGCGAGGAUGACCAGCCAAGAUGGAACUGAGACAAGGUCCAGAACCCUAAGGGAGGGAGGCGUGGUGAAUUGUGGCCAAUGGGGGAAAGUCUUAAGCAGCACGGCCGCGUGGUGUAAGAAGGCCUUUGGGUUGGAAAGCACUUUCAGCGGGGAGGCGUUACCCGCAGAAGAAGCACCGGCUAACUCCGUGCCAGCAGCCGCGGUAAUAC